rnacentral:misc_RNA from 1 species
UUUUUUUUUUUUCUUUUUCAGAAAAAAUUCUAAUUGAAGCUAUCAUGAUUUUGAUAAUCCUCAUCCUGAUAUUUUCUCAGCACCCAAAUAUGCUAAGGGUUCUGUGAGAAUAAAUUUGUGAAAUUUGAAGUCUUUAUUUAUUUAUUUUUUUGGGUUUUUCAUUAUUGAUGCUGGAGAUCUGAGAGUACUCAAAUCUCUCUCUAUUUCCUUUUUCCCCUCCUUUUCUUGGCUAGUUUUUCUUUAUAAUUUAUACUAUGCAGACAAAUUGCACUUUUUCUCUCUGAUUUUGAUUACCCUUUUGCUUUAAACCGACUCCAUUUCUCCAUCUUUAAUGCUCUUUCUGCAGAAAACUUCAGCUCCUGCAGGAGAAGAAAUUAAAUAUUUAUUUGCAGUAAUUCAGAUCGAAAACUAAGCCUGAAUUGUACAUGAUUCUCCAUUAAAUAGGAGAAUUAAGAUUAUCUUUAGCUCUUAAAUAUAAUUCCCAAUGGUCUAAUGUGUUCAUCAAUAUACACAUUCGAUCCAAUCAUUUCCAGCUUUUAGCUCUUUCCUUGAAUUUAUCGGAAUGAUGUUUAUUCUCUUAAUUAUGGAUUUAUGGGUUCUUGCAUGUUUAUUUUAUGUGCCAAGAAUUUGCUGAAUAUAAUUAUUUAAGAUGGGAUAUAAAAAAAGAAUUGGUUUUUCUUUUGUUGGAAACUGCUGUUUUCAGGAAGCUAGCAGAGCUUGGUUAUAAUCGAAGUGCCAAGAAAUGUAAAGAGAAAUUCGAGAACGUCUUCAAGUACCACAAGAGAACCAAAGAAGGCCGUACUGGUAAACAAGAAGGAAAAACGUAUAGGUUUUUUGAUCAAUUAGAAGCGUUUGAGAAUCAUCCUUCUUCACUUUCAUCACCACAGCCACCACAACCGCAACCGCCGCAGCAGCAGCAGCUUAAGCCUCAAACUCCUGCGGUGACAACCAUAGCAAUGCCAGUGGUUAACCCUCGUCCUCCUCCUCCUCCUCUUAGUGGUGGUGCACCUCCUAUUAGUACUGUUACAUCAACAACGCCACCAACAGCUGCAAGUAUGUCUCAAGGCAUUGUCACAGCAGGAAUAAACCUCACGAUCCCUUCAUUUCCACCUGCAAACCCUACAAUCUUACCCUCUGCACAAGCAACAAACCCUACAAUAAACCCAUCUUCUUUCUCUAAUUUUUCCCCAGAUCUCCACUUCAAUUCCACAUCUUCAUCCACUUCCUCAGACGUGGAACUCCGUGGGAGGCAAAGGAAGAAAAGGAAAUGGAAGGAUUUUUUUGAGAGGAUAAUGAAGGAAGUGAUACACAAGCAAGAGGAUAUGCAAAGGAAAUUCUUGGAAGCUAUAGAGAAACGUGAACACGAUAGAAUGGUAAGGGAAGAAUCCUGGAGAAUGCAAGAAAUGGCAAGAAUCAAUAGAGAGCGUGAAAUUUUAGCCCAAGAAAGAUCCAUUGCGGCUGCAAAAGAUGCUGCUAUAAUGGGAUUUUUACAGAAGCUAUCUGAACAGCAAAAUCCAGGCCAAAUACAGAAUAAUCCUCCAACGGCACAUCCACCACCACCACAGCCACCAGCAGCAACAACAGUACCAGUACCAGCGCCACCAGUACCAACACCAACACCACAACCAAUAACUGUGGUGCCGGUGGCACCAGCAGCGCCGCCACAGUAUGCGACAAAUCUGGACACGAAAUCAGACAGUGGGGAUCAGAUUUUGACGCCGCCAAGCUCUUCGAGAUGGCCUAAGGUAGAAGUUGAAGCUUUAAUUAAGAUGAGGACUAAUCUGGACUCCAAGUACCAAGAAAAUGGACCCAAGGGGCCGCUAUGGGAGGAGAUCUCAGCUGGAAUUAGAAAGCUUGGUUACAAUCGAAGUGCAAAAAGAUGCAAAGAGAAAUGGGAAAACAUCAACAAAUACUUCAAGAAAGUAAAAGAGAGCAACAAGAAAAGGCCUGAAGAUUCAAAAACAUGUCCAUACUUUCACCAACUUGAUGCUUUAUAUAAAGAGAAGAACAAGAGCGACCCUUCAUCAAACAUUGAAUUCAAGCCUGAGAAUUCAGUGCCUUUAAUGGUACGGCCAGAGCAGCAAUGGCCUCCUCCUCAACAAGAACAUGGCCCAGCUGAUGAUUCAGUCAUGGAAGAUUUGGAAAGUGAUCAGGAUCAACAGAAUCAUCAAGAUGACGAUGAGAAAGAUGAUGAUGAUGAUGAUGAUCAAAUUACUGGUGAGGUGCCAAUGUCGGGUGUCAAGUUUGAUGAUGAAUGACGGAAUAAGUAACCAUGAGUUUUUAGUAGAGUUACUAUUUUGCUAGUUAAGAGUUUUAUGAUAAUUUUUUUAAAGUGGGCAACAAUUACAUCCAAAUAUGAACUCUGCAUCAAUGUGAGGAAAUUUUGUUAAGAAGAAAGAGCUUUUUAUUUCAAUCAGAACUACUCUCUGAUGUCUAUAUCUCUAUCACCCAAUGAAUUAAUAUAGACGGUGUAGAGCAGCUUAAAUCCAGCGGGAGAACUACUUAAGUGAGGCUAACCGCCUUCAACUUUCAUAUGGAAUAAUAUUAAUCUUCGUUUAAGGGUAAUGUGAAUACUGAAGUGAUAAAGAUCAAAACAAACUGUUUCACAUAUGAGAUUGCGAAGAUACAUAUAACUUCCUUCUCUCGGUCUCUCAUAUGAACCGAGACUUUUAUUAACUAUAAAUCUUUAGGGGAUGCCAUGCCUUAAAUUUAUCUGAUGGAAAAUAUAGGGUAUGUAGAAUUUAAAGCUACAACUUCAGUCAUCAUCUAUCACCCCAUAAGCAGGGCCCUUAGCAGCAGGAUCUAGACCCGUCUCAGCAGUUGGGACAACAGUUGAAUUUGGAAUUGAGGGUGGGUUUGCAGGAGCAACAGCAUUGAUGGUUGAUGAUGAAGAUUUUGAAGUUUCUGAGUUAAUGUCAUAUGCAGCUGAUUUUGGAUCAACUGUAGUAGCAUUCGAAACGAGUCCUUGAGCCCCCAUGGCUUCACGUGCUGCAUUUUCCUUGGCUCGUUUGGCCCUUUCCAACACAUCUACCUGCACAAGGUCAAUGGACUAAGAAUAGACAGCUAACAAUGAAAGAAAUACACAUUGAUACCAUCAAAUAUCAACUUAAUGCGAUGGAUCCAGUGUUGAUUUGCAAAAAGUUAUUUGCAUCUUAUCAAUAGGUUAAUAACAAACUGCUGUGUACUUCUAACAAAUUGAUGGGGGAUAGAUGUAGAAACAUGAAGUUCACAUCACAGUACACCAGCAAGUACUCACAUGUGUUGUUGCGCAACAAACACCAAAACAAAGGAUUUGCAUGUAAGAGAUCACUUCCAAGACUAUUGAAGAAAUUAUCAUUUUUGAAAUGCCUAGCAUCUUGAAAAAAUGAUAAGUUUUAAACAAUUUCAAGCCUGAAUCCUUCUUAAAUUUGAACAUAACCUAGAGGAACACCAUCAAAUAUGUUGUAUUGCAAAAUAGAAUGACAAUAAUUCAAUAAUUCUCUCAACAAAUUAAAUUCUCAUAUAGUAACUGCAAGAAUAUAAAACAAUUCUAAUAUACUACCUGGAAGUCCUGUAUUUGCCUCUGUUGCUCAGCUUGCAGCCUACCAAUUGCACUCAAAAACUCCCCAACUGUAGACUCAAUACGCUCAUUAAGCGCUUCUGCUAGAGCCUUUCCCAAGAAAAAUGCAUCCAGAACACUCCUGCUCUCAUUAUCACCGGAGCCAGGGCCGCCGGGUCUUGUGCUGCUAUUGCACCGGACGCUGAUUCCAUGGGGCGUUCUCGUCGGAGCUCCAAAUCGAAGACCCAAUUGUUUCUUGAGCUUAGUAUCUGGUAAAGACGAGAUACUCGGAUUAACUGCGCAAAGUCCAUGACUAAACCUGGUAGAGUGGUUCUUUGAUUGAAGAGAAGAGAAGCUGAAGGGUGGGGAAGCUGCAACCCCGCUCAUGCUGAAGCGUUGUCUUCCUGGGCUCUCUCUCUUGUACUUGUGUUUCUCGACAUCGAUGGUAUCAUAUAAGAAGCUCAGCCUCCGAAGCCUGCAGCUGCAUUAGACCCCGCGGCCACGGCCUGGUUUUGGGCCAGAAUAGCCGGUUCAGCCAGCGUCACAGUUUGAAUCGAUUUCUGUCCAAAUCGGUUUCAAUUCAU